ensembl:lncRNA
CCGGAAGUCGCCCCCUUCGCGCGCCCCCCCCCCUGCAGUUUCAAUACGCAUGCGCCGAGAGGCCCUGAGCCGAGUCACGUGGUGCAUCGCGCGGUGCUCUCCCUAAAGGGGUCCGGGUACUUCCUGUGCGCUCCUAUGGGGUUCCGUGCUCUGUCCCAGGGUUUCGUGCGCUUCUUAUGGGGAUCUGUCUGUUCUUAUGGGAGUCGGUGCGCUCCUAUAGGGUUCCAUGCUCUGCGGUAGGGUUUCGUGUGCUUUCUAUAGGGUUUUGUUUUAUUCUAUGGGGUUUAGGUGCUCCUAUGGGGGUCCACGUGCUCCCAUUGGGGUCCGUCUGCUCCUAUAAGGUUCUGUGUUCUCCUUUAGGGUUCUGUGCACUCCUAUAGGGUUUUGUGUGCUUUCUGUAGGGAUCCGUGUGCUCCUAUAGGGGUCCGUGUGUGGCUAUAGGGUUCCACAUUCUGCCAUGGGGUUUUGUGCGCUUCUAUAGGGGUCCACCAUCUCCUAUGGGGAUCAGUGGGCUCCUGGAGGGGUCCAUGUUCUCCUAUAGGGUUCCAUGUUUUCUCAUAUAGGGCUCUGUGGCCUCUUAUAGGCGUCCAUGUGCUCCUAUAGGGGUCUGCGUUCACUUCCGGGGUUCUGGGUGAUCCUGUAGGGUUUUGUGUGCUCCUCUAGGUGUUUGUGUACUCCUAUGGAGUUCCAAGUACUUUCUAUAGGGGUCGGGGCAUUCCUAUAUGGAUCUGUGUUCUCCCACAGAGUUCUGCGUGCUCCUAUAGGGUUCCAUAUACUUUCUAUAGGAGCCCAGGUGCUCCUAUAGGGGCCUGGGUACACCCUGUUGGUGUCUGUGUGUUCCUAUAGGGGCCCUUGUGCUCCAUAUGGGCUCUGAGCUCUCUCCCUACAGGGCUUCAUGCGGUCCCUAUAGGGGUCGCUCCCCAUAUGGAUCCAUAGGCUCCCUAUAGGGAGUGUGUGCUCUAUGGGGUCCGUAUGCUCUCUACAGGGCCCCACGCGUUCCCUAUAGGAGUCCUAUGAGGUCUGUGUGUACCCUAUGGAAUCCUAUCAGGGUUGCUGUGCUCUCUGUAGGGUGACAUUCCCCACAGAGGUCCCUAUAGGGCUCUUUGCUCUCUCUAUAGGGCUCCACAUGCACCCUGGGGUGUCCACGUAAUCCCUAUAGGUGCUGUGUGCUCCCUAUAUGGCACAUGUGCUACCCAUAUGGUGCCCUAUAGGCCCUGUAUUCCCUGUAUGCACCCCAUAGGGCUCCUGUGUGCCCCCUAUAGAUCCCUAUAGGGUGCUCUAUGCACCUAUAGGGCCUGUGCCCCCCUAUAGUCCCUGUGUGCUCCCCAUAGGGUCCCACGUGCCCCCUACAGUCCCUGUGUUCUCCCCAUAGGGCUCUCCCUGUCUCCUAUAGGCCCCGUGUGCCCUGUGCCCCCUAUAGGCUCUGUGUGCUCCCCAUAGGGUACUCUAUGCCCCCUAUAGGCCCUGUGCCCCCUAUAGGCUCUGUGUGCCCGCUAUAGGCCUCCUGUUCUCCCCAUAGGGCUCCCCAUGCCCCUAAGGGCCCUCUAUGCCCCCUAUAGGAUGCCCUGUUCCUCCUAUAGGCCCCAUGCCCCCUAUAGUCCCCAUGUUCUCCCCAUAGGAUUCCCUGGGCACCUACAGGCUCUGUGUGCCCCUUAUAGGCCCCAUGUUCUUCCUACAGGGCUCCCUGUGCCCCCUAUAAGCCCCGUGUGCCCCCUAUAAACCCCAUGUUCCCCCCCAUAGGACGCCCUGUGCCUCUAUAGGCUCUGUGCCCCUGUAGGCUCUGUGUGCCCCCUAUAGGCUCUGUGUGCUCCCCAUAGGACCCUGUGUGCCCCCUAUAGGCUCUAUGUGCUCCCCAUAGGACCCUGCGUGCCCCCUAUAGGCUCUGUGUGCUCCCCAUAGGACCCUGCGUGCCCCCUAUAGGCUCUGUGUGCUCCCCAUAGCGUCCUGUGUGCCCCCUAUAGGCUCGUUCCCCAUAGGACCCUGUGUGCCCCCUAUAGGCUCUAUGUCCUCCCCAUAGGACCCUGUGUGCCCCCUAUAGGCUCUGUGCCCUCCCCAUAGGACCCUGCGUGCCCCCUAUAGGCUCUGUGUGCUCCCCAUAGGGUCCUGUGUGCCCCCUAUAGGCUGUAUGUGCUCCCCAUAGGGUCCUGCGUGCCCCCUAUAGGCUCUGUGUGCUCCCCAUAGGGUCCUGUGUGCCCCCUAUAGGCUGUAUGUGCUCCCCAUAGGGUCCUGCGUGCCCCCUAUAGGCUCUGUGUGCUCCCCAUAGGACCCUGUGUGCCCCCUAUAGGAUCUAUGUCCUCCCCAUAGGACCCUGUGUGCCCCCUAUAGACCCCCCCCCCAAAGGACCCCCCCACACAUCUCAGCAUCUCAGCCUUUAUUGAGUGGCUCCAGCGUGGCCCCCCCCCGCAGCGGGGACAUGCAGCGUGUGUGGGGCCGGGCGUGUUUGAGGGGGGGGGUUAAGGUGUGUGUGUGGGGGGGGGGGGGGCGCAGCAGGGCCGGGGGAGUCACAGCCUCACUGCCCCCAAGUAGGGGGGGCCGGGGGGGGCCGGACAUUCCUCCAGGUAUCAGUUUAAGGCAUCUCAAAGCGGCCCCCGGGCUGCCCCCCCGUCCCACCCCCUCCCCCCCCCCCGGCCCCGGUGAUGUCCCCCCAACUGCCCCCCCCAAAAGGGUCCCGGGGGGGGGGUCGAUGGGGAAGGGGGCGAGCACACAGACACAGAGGUGGCACCGGGACAUGCGGAGCGGUGAUGGGGUCCGGUGGGACCUGCGGGGGGGGGACAGGGCUGGGGGUCAGGACAUGGACCCCCCCCCACCCAGAGCGUAAUGGAUGGGGGGGCGCAGGGGGCAUGAAGGGAACUCGAGGAUUGAGGGGGGGGGCAGGAUGGGGG